UACGUAGGGUGCAAGCGUUGUCCGGAAUCAUUGGGCGUAAAGAGCGUGUAGGCGGCUCGAUUAGUCCGCUGUAAAAGUCCAGGGCUCAACCCUGGGAUGCCGGUGGAAACUGUCGGGCUAGAGUCCGGGAGAGGCGAGUGGAAUUCCUGGUGUAGCGGUGAAAUGCGCAGAUAUCAGGAGGAGCACCGGUGGCGAAGGCGGGUCUCUGGGCAGUAACUGACGCUGAGGAGCGAAAGCGUGGGGAGCGAACAGG
rnacentral:rRNA from 1 species